rnacentral:rRNA from 1 species
UACAGAGGUCCCGAGCGUUGUUCGGAUUCACUGGGCGUAAAGGGUGCGUAGGUGGGUUGGCAAGUUUGAUGUGAAAGCCCCGGGCUUAACCCGGGAAUGGCAUUGAAUACUGCUGAUCUGGAGGAUCGGAGGGGGGACUGGAAUUCUUGGUGUAGCAGUGAAAUGCGUAGAUAUCAAGAGGAACACCAGUGGCGAAGGCGAGUCCCUGGACGAUACCUGACACUGAGGCACGAAAGCCAAGGGAGCAAACAGG